AGACCAAUUUCAGGAGAGGGUUCCAGGAAGAGAAGGACGACAGAGUCAGGGGAAGAUGGUGCAAAGCCAUCACGGUGCCGCCACUGUAAGCGGAGAGCCCUUCUGCAUAAGGCCACUGUGCGCGAUGAGCGUAUGGGAAGGCGCAGGAGGCGCGAGGACCCGCAAGUCAGGAAACCCGCUUGUCGUCACAUCGAACU
rnacentral:ncRNA from 2 species